rnacentral:rRNA from 1 species
UACGUAGGGGGCAAGCGUUGUCCGGAAUCAUUGGGCGUAAAGAGCGCGUAGGCGGUCCGGUCAGUCGGUUGUGAAAACUGGGGGCUCAACCCUCAGAGGCCGACCGAUACUGCCGGGCUAGAGUCCGGAAGAGGCGAGUGGAAUUCCUGGUGUAGCGGUGAAAUGCGCAGAUAUCAGGAGGAACACCAAUGGCGAAGGCAGCUCGCUGGGACGGUACUGACGCUGAGGCGCGAAAGCGUGGGGAGCAAACAGG